AAAAAUAAUAAAAAAAAAAAUUAUAUAAAAGUAUCGAUGACAAUAUUGUAAUAACAUCAAAAAAUAUAUAAAAAGUAAUUCAAAGGGGUUAUUAAGGAAAACUAAGGCAAAUUUAUAACAAAAGGAGGUAUAUAACCAAAAGCUUAUCCAGCGUCAAGCCCGUAUUAGUUAAGCGAUCCUAAGGGAAACCUUGUUAAUUAAUCACUUUCUGAAGUAAAACAUUUUAUUAGGGAAAGGAAAGGAAAUCAACCGAGACUCCGAAAGUAAUGGUGAGUGAAAUCGGAUUAGCCUAAUUAAUUUAAUAAAUUGAAUAACGAAAAUAUUCAAAUAAUUUGUUAAGUUAUAUUAUUUAAUCUUUUUAGAUUAUUCUGUAUACUAAAAUAAUUCCAAUCAAAGUACGAUGAGAGAAAACUUGUCGGAAUAUAGGGGUACCAUCCUCUAAGGCUAAGUAUUAUAAAUUUAGCGAUAGUGAAUAAGUACUGUAAAGGAAAAGUUUGAAAAGCGAGUGGAAAACAAAAAAGUGAAUUUAUAAAAUAUAAAAUUUAUAAAUGAAUCGGUGAAAUAGAUCAUGAAUUAGUAACUCUAUAAGCAGUCGAAAUUCUACUUGAAAACAUAAAAGACAAAUGAAUGACGGCGUACCUUUUGCAUAAUGGGUCAGCAAGUUAAUAGGAGUAGCAAGGUUAAAAGCCCUAGCGAAAGCGACUGGACUAUAACAACAAAUAUAGUGAUGGGAAAGUUACUUCUAUUAGACCCGAAGCCAGGUGAUCUUACCAAGACCAGAUUAUAAUGGAUCGAACGGGUGAAUGUUGCAUAAUUCUCCGAUGAGUUUUGGUAAGCGGUGAAAUGCCAAUCUGACCUGGUGCUAGCUGGUUUUCUACCGAAACAUAUUUAAGUAUGACGUCUACACAAAAUUUAUGGAGGUACAGCAAGGCAAUUCCCAACAAGUUUAAGGGUUGUACUAUUAAAUCUUAAUAAUACUUCUACCUUUUAGGCGUUUAGGUUGCGGGGACCUCGAAAAUCUUACCUUUGGAAGCGAAUCUCGGAAUUACAUAAAUUGAUGGUAGAUAUUCAGACUACUCAUGCUAAGUUGGGUAGUCAAGACGGAAACAGCCGAGAACACUGAUCAAGGUCCCAAAUGAUUGUUAAGUGAAAUUAAGGACGUAGCAAUAUCGUAUACAGCUGUGAAGUGAGCCUGGUAGUCGCUACUUUUAAUGAUCGUAUGUAACAACGCAUCAGCAGUCUAGAUAGUGGCGCCGAAAAUUUAACGGGUCUUAAACAAUCAACCGAUAUCGUGUUGAUUUAGAGUAUUUAGAAUUAAAUAUAUUUUAUAUUAAAUAUAAAUAUUAUUUAGCCUUUAUAUCUCUAAAUCUAGGUAGUAGAACAUUCAGUCAAACUAAUCAUAAAAUAGUGUUUCAUUAUUUUUUAGGUUACUGAAGAGAGAAUGCUGACAUGAGUAACGUAAAAAGAAGUUAUAAUACUUCUCGCCGAAUACGAAAGGGUUGCAAAUAGGAAAGGUUAAUCCAUUUUGUUUGAAUGCGGCCUCUAAGGACCAAAACCAAAGUUUUGGCUGAUGAGUAUAUAAUAGAAAGUCCAUUUUUUAUGGACCAGGAAAUUAAUAUUAUAAGUAAUAAUUAUAGUAUCUUGGGAAUUAUAAGUUCUUAUAAAUAUUUACAUAUAUAAACUAAUACUAAUGAUUCUAAAUUUUACUAUAGUGCGAUGUCGACUCAUCCUAUCCUCCGGGGGAAGAAGCUUGGAAGGGUUCGGCUGUUCGCCGAUUAAAAGGGUACGUGAGUUGGGUUUAAUACGACGUGAGUCAGUAUGGUCCCUAUCUUCUGGAGGGAUAAUUAGUAAAAAGGGGCAGACCUUCUAGUACGAAAGGAUCAAUAGGCUGUGUUUCUCUAGUGUACCAAUUGUUUGUAGUAUUUUGUUAGGGACUCUAUUCUAAAAUAAUAGAGGAAAAUCCUUUUGAACUUUAGGCUAAAAAAGUUCUUUAAUUUAAAUACCCUUAAAUAAGGUUAUGAUAAAAGGUCACAAAAUAGGAACGCAUAGUUGGGUAGCCACAAACAUAAUAGAUAAGUGCUGAAUGUCUAUAAAGCAAGAAUCUAACCCCUAGAUACUUUAAAAUUGAUAUUUUAAUUACAAGCUUAAUAUUUUAAGUCUGGAUUAAUUAUCAUUAAUUAAGAAAUAGAACAUUUCUAGAUAGGCUGCAAAUGAAACAUAUUGUAAAAUAUUUAGUUUAGCAGUACUAAUUUAUAAAGAAACUCGAUG
rnacentral:rRNA from 1 species